AGGUAAAGCCGGGCGAGCAGACGCGGGAAUACGGAGGGUGCAAGUGUUAAUCUGAAUUACUGUGCGUAAAGCGCACUCAGGCGGUUGGAUAAGUUAGAGUGGAAAGGCCCGGGCUCAACCUGGGAAUUGCAUUUAAAACUGGCCAGCUAGAGUCUUGUAGAGGGGGGUAGAAUUCCAGGUGUAGCGGUGAAAUGCGUAGAGAUCUGGAGGAAUACCGGUGGCGAAGGCGGCCCCCUGGACAAAGACUGACGCUCAGGUGCGAAAGCGUGGGGAGCAAACAGGAUUAGAUACCCUGUAGUC
rnacentral:rRNA from 1 species